rnacentral:rRNA from 1 species
GACGGACGCUGGCGGCGUGCUCAACACAUGCAAGUCGAACGGAAAGGCCCUGCUUUUGUGGGGUGCUCGAGUGGCGAACGGGUGAGUAACACGUGAGUAACCUGCCCUUGACUUUGGGAUAACUUCAGGAAACUGGGGCUAAUACCGGAUAGGAGCUCCUGCUGCAUGGUGGGGGUUGGAAAGUUUCGGCGGUUGGGGAUGGACUCGCGGCUUAUCAGCUUGUUGGUGGGGUAGUGGCUUACCAAGGCUUUGACGGGUAGCCGGCCUGAGAGGGUGACCGGCCACAUUGGGACUGAGAUACGGCCCAGACUCCUACGGGAGGCAGCAGUGGGGAAUAUUGCACAAUGGGCGGAAGCCUGAUGCAGCAACGCCGCGUGCGGGAUGACGGCCUUCGGGUUGUAAACCGCUUUCGCCUGUGACGAAGCGUGAGUGACGGUAAUGGGUAAAGAAGCACCGGCUAACUACGUG